UGUUUUAUAUUUUUUUUUUCUAAUUUGUGAAUUAUUUAUAUUUCUAAUAUAUUAUCAUCAAGGCCUAAUGAGGAAAAAAAUCUGUGCUUUUGUGUGCUUUUUUAAUUUUGGCCAAUUCUUCUAAAUUUAUCAGUUUGUAUUUGAAACUUUAAUAUUGGUUUCAACUUUUAGCAAUUAGCUCAAUUGGGUAGCCAAUUUACUGACUAAUCCAAAUAUUUGUUUGCAUUAUCAAUUAUAGUCGGUCUUUUUAAUCCAAAUAUUGUAUAUUCAUAUCAAAUUUAGCAGGUAUACUCAUGUUGUGAAAAUAAUUAUUUUAUUGAUGAAUCAAAUAAAAUAUUAUUAUUAUUUAGUUUAUACUUUGUCUUCCCUCCAUAACACCUCUUUCUUCUUCCCCACCCACGUUGGCUGCUCUCUCCUGAGCAUUUUUCUUCUACAAAUGCAUGUCUUUUUUAAGGCCACGGUUAGAUUGCUUGCAGCCAUCAUAUUAUUUGGCAAUUCCUUUACUUGAAUCAAUGGAUUCUUUCAUUUAUUAAACCUAAAAUCUGAAAAAGGGUGGAAGGAAAGAGGGAGAGGGAUUUUGGAACUCUGGGGAGGAAAAAAGAAAAUUUUAAAUUAAAAUUAGUGUUUGAUUUGAUUCGUAAUAAAAUAAUAUUUUUUAUCGAUUAAAUUUGAUUGCUAAAGGUGAUACAAAUGUGAAAAAUUGAGGUGCAAAUUAUAAGAGUUGACUACAAUUUUUAAUUAGUAAAUAGAUUUGGAUCAUUUUUUGGUGAAUCAAAUUGUUUCCAUUUGAGUUGACUGCAAAAAUAACGUGGAGGGAAGUAGGAUCAAAAGAUUUAUAAUUUUUGGA
rnacentral:misc_RNA from 1 species